GACCGUGUGGCCUAGCGGUUAGGGCGUCCCCUUUACAGUUUCUGUUUGCAAGCGAGUGUCGGGGAAGAUCGAGGGUUCAAUCCCCUCCGUGGUCA
rfam:Kwoniella mangroviensis CBS 10435 unplaced genomic scaffold supercont2.14, whole genome shotgun sequence.